UUCGUAGGUGGUGCGGUAAGUUGGGAGUGAAAUCUCUGGGCUUAACCCAGAGGCUGCUUUCAAAACUGCCGUGCUCGAGUGCGAGAGAGGUCAGUGGAAUUGCAGGUGUAGCGGUGAAAUGCGUGGAUAUCUGCAGGAAUACCCGUGGCGAAGGCGGCUGACUGGAUCGCAACUGACACUGAGGAACGAAAGCUAGGGGAGCAAACA
rnacentral:rRNA from 1 species